rnacentral:rRNA from 1 species
AAUCUUGGUCAUUUAGAGGAAGUAAAAGUCGUAACAAGGUCUCCGUUGGUGAACCAGCGGAGGGAUCAUUACCGAGUUUACAACUCCCAAACCCAAUGUGAACGUUACCAAACUGUUGCCUCGGCGGGAUCUCUGCCCCGGGUGCGUCGCAGCCCCGGACCAAGGCGCCCGCCGGAGGACCAACCAAAACUCUUAUUGUAUACCCCCUCGCGGGUUUUUUUAUAAUCUGAGCCUUCUCGGCGCCUCUCGUAGGCGUUUCGAAAAUGAAUCAAAACUUUCAACAACGGAUCUCUUGGUUCUGGCAUCGAUGAAGAACGCAGCGAAAUGCGAUAAGUAAUGUGAAUUGCAGAAUUCAGUGAAUCAUCGAAUCUUUGAACGCACAUUGCGCCCGCCAGUAUUCUGGCGGGCAUGCCUGUCCUAGCGUCAUUUCAACCCUCGAACCCCUCCGGGGGGUCGGCGUUGGGGAUCGGCCCUCCGUUAACGGGUGGACGUCUCCGAAAUACAGUGGCGGUCUCUCAGCAGGCUCUCCUGCUCAGUAUUUUGCACACGUGCCCUUCUGGMGCGAGGGUYGUYCACCUCCGAU